AACGAACGCUGGCGGCAUGCCUAACACAUGCAAGUCGAACGAGACCUUCGGGUCUAGUGGCGCACGGGUGCGUAACGCGUGGGAAUCUGCCCUUGGGUCUGGAAUAACAGUUAGAAAUGACUGCUAAUACCGGAUGAUGACUUCGGUCCAAAGAUUUAUCGCCCAGGGAUGAGCCCGCGUCGGAUUAGCUAGUUGGUGAGGUAAAGGCUCACCAAGGCGACGAUCCGUAGCUGGUCUGAGAGGAUGAUCAGCCACACUGGGACUGAGACACGGCCCAGACUCCUACGGGAGGCAGCAGUGGGGAAUAUUGGACAAUGGGCGAAAGCCUGAUCCAGCAAUGCCGCGUGAGUGAUGAAGGCCUUAGGGUUGUAAAGCUCUUUUACCCGGGAUGAUAAUGACAGUACCGGGAGAAUAAGCCCCGGCUAACUCCGUGCCAGCCGCCGCCGUAAAAC
rnacentral:rRNA from 1 species